rnacentral:lncRNA from 1 species
GGCAAAGGCAACUGGAUGUCAAGCAACUCGCCUAGAACAGAGCACACCCUGCAGGGGGGCAGGAGACCUUCAUGUGACAUCACAGUUAGUGGGAUGGGCUGUGGCAUCACUGUUCCCCAGAAUUCUCCUUUCCAACAACACAGUGAACUCCAAGGCACAGGCUGACUCUUGGCUCCACUCUCUUGUCCUCAUUAUGACCAGCACAGUGCAGAACACAGGAGCCAGAGACUAUUCUAGACCUGCCUUUGGGAAAAUAAAAGAUGAAGACAGAAAUCCACACAGAUCCAGUGCUGACGGCCCAAAUGGCUAGGGAGGAGGCGAGUGUGCCACCUUAGACAGAGGCCCUGAAGAGGCAGCCCAGAGUCCUGAACCACCACUGAGGAAGCACACACCGAGUGCACCGUGUAGGAUGGGGAGGCUGGGAAAGCACAAUUCCUACAAAUGUAUUUUUGAAACUUUUUAAUUUUAUAAUUUUUCCAUGUUAUUUAGAAAUGCAAUAAAGAUUUUCCUGUGUGUUUAUUCUUUCCUGAUUGUUUAUUUUCCUUACAGAAUGAUUCCAAAGUAAUAUCAAUAUGAUGCUGUUGCCACAUCAGAGACUCUGAGCCAUGGCAUGCAUUUCUGUUAUUUCUGUUUUUUUUUUUCUCUGCUGCUCUUCUUCUUUUCCUCCUCCGUGGUCCUUCUCCUCCCUCUUUUCUAUCUCUCCCUCUUCUUUUCUUUGUGCCUUUC